ACCUGGAGGAAGGUGCCGGAGACGGCGACGAGGAAGGUGGCGGCGGCCCAGAGGAAGGCCCCGGCGGCGACGACGUGCGCGCGAUUGUGGCGCGACGCGGCGUAGGCGGCGACGGGGUAGCACGCCGCCUGCACGGCGGAGCGGCACAGCGUGAGCGCGCCGAGCCCCGUCGGCGUCGCGUGCAGCGCCGCGCCCACCUCCCGGUACACCGCCGGCAGCAGCGCCUCGUCGGCGCGCUCCAUGAUCGACGCCAGGUUCACCAGCACCAGCGUCCGCCGCUCCUCCCACGUCGUGGCCGCCGCCGCCGCCGCUGGGACGAGCCCCAUCCAGCCGGCCGCCGGAGCUUCCUCUUCGCCUCUCACCUCGAGCUCGGGGUGCCCGCCAUUGGCAGCGAACUAGCUAGGAGCUCGCGCGCCGGCGGCAGCAGCGGCGAUCUGGAGAUAUCUUUUCGCGCGAAUUUUAUAAUCUACGUUAUGACUCGUCCUGGGCGCGUGCACGGCUAUCUACCCUCACACUGACAUGUGGGGCCAGGGGAGGGUGGGGUCCACGUGUCAGUGAGUGUUUCAAGU
rnacentral:sRNA from 1 species